CUGGGACUUGCUCCUUGUUGCCUCCUCUUUGAUCUUUGCAUCAGAGGGCCCUGCCGGUCUCUGUCCUCACAGUCCCCAGUCUCUUGGUGCCCAAGAAAGACAUAAGGGGAAGAGUACCAGCUGAGAAUACAUACCAAAGAUGCUGUCUCCAGCACUGCAUGGGACAAGGAUGAAGCCUCAUCAGCCAGCUGAACUGGAACAAGUAUAUUCUAAAACUCCAUCCUAUUUUAAUUUUUCUAUUUUUAAUGCAG
rnacentral:lncRNA from 1 species